CCCAGGCACCCGGAGUCUUCCCCUUGAGCUGCUGUCGGGACUCCACGACACUGGGCUGCCUGGUCAAAGGCUACUUUCCAGAGCCAGUAACUGUGACCUGGGACACAGCCUCACAGAACAUGACCAUCACUCAGUUCCCCGCCAUCAACUUCAACUCCAGCUUCCUAGUCACCACCAGCCAUGUGACAACGUCAGGAGCAUGGCCUAAGCAGCUCACUUGCAAGGUGCAGCACCCUGCAUCUAACUCCAUCCUUACAAAGACAGUCACAGCUUGUCUCCCCGGCUUAACCCAGCCCACUGUGAGGCCCACUGUGAGGCCCUCUGUGAAGCUCCUCCACUCCUCCUGCAACCAAAACAAGUUCCAGCCCACCAUCCAGCUCCUCUGCCUCAUUUCUGACUACACCCCCGGUGAUCUCGAAGUCACCUGGCUGAAGGAUGGGCAGCAAAUUGACAAAAAGUUCACAGAAAACAGUGCACACAGGCAAGACGGGAAGCUGGCCUCCACCCAAGUAGAGCUCAACAUCACCCAGAGUGACUGGGCAUCAGCGAGCACUUUCACCUGCCAGGUCUCCUCCCAAGGGCUGACCUUGAAGGCCCACACCCGGAAGUGCACAGAUGAUGAAGAGCCACGAGGCGUGGGUGCCUACCUGAUCCCACCCAGCCCCCUGGACCUGUAUGUCCGCAAAGCGCCCAAGCUCACCUGCCUGGUGGUGGACCUAGAGAACAAAAACAGCAUCUCUGUGAAGUGGACCCGGGAGAGCGGGCGGUCCGUGAACCCUGACCCUUGGAUGGCCAAGACGCAGUACAACACCACAGUCAGCAUCACAUCCACCCUGCCCGUGGAUGCCCAGGACUGGAUUGAAGGCGAGAGUUACAAGUGCACUGUGACCCACCCCGACCUACCCAAGCCCAUCGUGCGGUCCAUCAGCAAGGCCAUGGGCACGCGCAUGAAGCCCAAGGUAUAUGUGUUCCGGCCACCAGAGGAGGGGUCAGAGGAGGGCGCAGAGACCCAGGGCAUACUCUCCCUCACCUGCCUGGCCCAGAACUUCUUCCCUGCAGACAUCUCAGUUCUGUGGCUGAACAGGGAUGUGGAAGUACCCAGCAAUCAGUACAGCACAACAGCCCCCAUCAAGAUCAACAGCUCCACUCCCUCCUUCUUCAUCUUCAGCCGCCUGGAGGUCACCUGGGCUGACUGGGUGCAGAACAACAAAUUCACCUGCCGUGUGGUCCAUGAAGCUCUGCCCCACUCUAGGUUCUUAGACAAAAGCGUGUCCAAGGACCCUGAGCUGGACCUCCAGGACCUGUGCACCGAGGAGGCAGAGAGCCAGGAGCUGGAGGGGCUGUGGACCAGCACCUAUACCUUCAUCUCCCUGUUCCUGCUCAGUGUGAGCUACAGCGCCACGGUCACUGUUCUCAAGGUGAAGUGGGUCUUCGCUGCCAUGCUGCAGAGCACACCCCAGACCCUCCACGACUACACCAACGUUCUGCAGCCAGGGGCCUAA